UGAGGAAUAUUGGGCAAUGCCCGCAAGGGUGACCCAGCAACGCCGCGUGGAGGAUGAAUGUCGUAAGAUUGUAAACUCCUGUUAGAGGGGAAGAAUAGUACCGGUUGGACCGGUAUAUGACUGUACCCUCAGAGAAAGCCCCGGCUAACUACGUGCCAGCAGCCGCGGUAAUACGUAGGGGGCAAGCGUUGUCCGGAUUUACUGGGUGUAAAGGGCGAGCAGGCGGGAUAAAAAGUCAGUGGUGAAAUCCUACAGCUUAACUGUAGAACUGCCUUUGAUACUUUUAUUCUUGAGUUCGGGAGAGAGAGACGGAAUUCCAGGUGUAGUGGUGAAAUACGUAGAUAUCUGGAAGAACACCAGUUGCGAAGGCGGUCUCUUGGGCCGACACUGACGCUGAUGCGCGAAAGCCAGGGGAGCAAACG
rnacentral:rRNA from 1 species